rnacentral:rRNA from 1 species
UACGUAGGGUGCAAGCGUUAAUCGGAAUUACUGGGCGUAAAGCGUGCGCAGGCGGUUGUGUAAGUCUGACGUGAAAUCCCCGGGCUUAACCUGGGAAUGGCGUUGGAGACUGCAUGGCUAGAGUGUGUCAGAGGGAGGUAGAAUUCCACGUGUAGCAGUGAAAUGCGUAGAUAUGUGGAGGAAUACCGAUGGCGAAGGCAGCCUCCUGGGAUAACACUGACGCUCAUGCACGAAAGCGUGGGGAGCAAACAGG